rnacentral:lncRNA from 1 species
GCGGAUCCUCUAGCGGGUCGGGUCGGAUGGGUCGGGCAUGGCCAAAACGACGUCGUUUUGGGGCUUAAGUGUAGCCCCCAAAACGACGUCGUUUUGGAGGGCUAUAUAAGGCCUAAACUAACCAAAAAAAAAUCAUUUGGGGAGAGGGAAAGAAAAAAAAAAAGAGAGAGGGAAGAGAGAAGGGAGAGAGAAGGGAGGGGAAUCCGGCCAGGGGCCGGUCACCGGACGGCCACCGGAGGCUUGCCGGCGCCGGCGCCGGCCACCGCACGAGGUGGCCGGAAAAGGUAAAAAAAAUUUUUUUUUGUUUUUUUUUUAUUUGUUGUAUAUUUUUAUGUUAAAUAGAUAGAAAAUAAAGAAAUAUAUGUAUAUGUAUAUAAAAAUCGAAAGGAAAAAAGAAAAAAAUACAACCUUUUGUUUUUUCUUUUUGUUUUUAACAAUCACUGCUAUCUGUUUAUUGAAGACUGUAAAUUUCUCUUUAGUGUUUACAAAGUAGAAAAGAAGAAGAAAGAAAAAAAAAAGCCCCCCGUACAAUUUUUGAUUCGUGUUUUUAUAACCCAUUUUCAUCUAAUUUCCUAUUGUUUCUGUUUUGUCUCUUUGCAUGGGAUGGGCACGAUGGAGGUGACAGAGGCAUGGGGUGCAGACGGUGAUGGGCAUGCGUGGAUCCUCUAGCGGGUCGGGUCGGAUGGGUCGGGCAUGGCCAAAACGACGUCGUUUUGGGGCUUAAGUGUAGCCCCCAAAACGACGUCGUUUUGGAGGGCUAUAUAAGGCCUAAACUAACCAAAAAAAAAUCAUUUGGGGAGAGGGAAAGAAAAAAAAAAAGAGAGAGGGAAGAGAGAAGGGAGAGAGAAGGGAGGGGAAUCCGGCCAGGGGCCGGUCACCGGACGGCCACCGGAGGCUUGCCGGCGCCGGCGCCGGCCACCGCACGAGGUGGCCGGAAAAGGUAAAAAAAAUUUUUUUUGUUUUUUUUUUAUUUGUUGUAUAUUUUUAUGUUAAAUAGAUAGAAAAUAAAGAAAUAUAUGUAUAUGUAUAUAAAAAUCGAAAGGAAAAAAGAAAAAAAUACAACCUUUUGUUUUUUCUUUUUGUUUUUAACAAUCACUGCUAUCUGUUUAUUGAAGACUGUAAAUUUCUCUUUAGUGUUUACAAAGUAGAAAAGAAGAAGAAAGAAAAAAAAAAGCCCCCCGUACAAUUUUUGAUUCGUGUUUUUAUAACCCAUUUUCAUCUAAUUUCCUAUUGUUUCUGUUUUGUCUCUUUGCAUGGGAUGGGCACGAUGGAGGUGACAGAGGCAUGGGGUGCAGACGGUGAUGGGCAUGCGUGGAGGCUGGCGCGGAGCAGAGGCGUGCGAGGUUGAGUGGUUGCGCACAUGGGGCAACGGCGCAAGUGGGCAAGUGGGGGGGUUUGCUGGUAUGGGCCCGGGCAGAUUUUGGGCUUUACAAAUAGCACUUAUUAUGUUUGGUUAAACCAAGUCUUAAUUUUGUUAGUAUUGAUAUUAUUCUCAAUUUAGAGGAUGCGGAUCUGAGUACAUUGAAGUGCGUUUAUCCUCCUAAUUAAGGACCGUGGAAGGGUUAUGGGCAGUUCUGGACAUUAUAUCAAAAAAUAUUUGUUCGAUUAACUUCAAUUACUAGUCAUGUACUACGUGCACAGUUGUAGAUUUAGUCUAUAUUCUUUAAUUGGAUCUUUCUAAGUCUAUACUUUUCGAAUUUUGAAAUAUCAAUCUUGACUAAAUGAUAGUCGUUAAUCUAUUAACUGAAUUUUUAGUUAGAAAUAUGUAAAAAUAACAAGCUGCCAUAGUAUUACACAUAUGAUAAUAUGUUUGCCAUAUUAAAAUUUGAAAAUAAUAAAACUUAACUGAACAAAUUUAAUAAUUAUUAUUUGAUGAGGUGUAAAAUUUGAAAAUUUAAAAAGCGAAUAAAAUAAAAAUACUUAUAUAUAGUAGAGAUCUAAUGACACUAACAUCCUCGUUGGUUGAUAGACAAGUGUCCCAGAUAUCACAGUAAACAACCAACACCAUUUGCAAAACAAGACGUAAUGUCACAACCAUUGUGCCACCAUGAUUGAUUACUACAUUUAAACUCAAAAAUUUCCUGGCUUUCGUUUGUUUCCAUGGAUGUAGGCUACAGGGUUGUGUUAGACACGGGAGCGACCCUAGUACACAGGGUCUAAAAAUGAACCAUUUCCCAACCUUUUGUGUAGUGCCCCGGGGACAUGUGGCCAACUAGUAGUGGCCUAGCGGUAGGUCCCUAAGCCAUUGGCUAUAUUGAACUGUAGUUAAAGGGCAGUGGACAGAUAGCAGGUGACUAGGUGAAGGUACCAUGAACAUUGAUAUUCAGACAAACAAUCAUGCUUUUGUCCUUUCUACGUGGCGGUUUAACA